UGGACUUAGUUACAAUGGUGCACUCCUUAACCAACUAAACCCCAAAGGACAAUGGAGAAUCUGCCCUAUGUGACACCUACAUCCUGUUGCUAGGGAGAAUCUUCCUUAGCAACAAGGAUCACCGAGGGGAGCAGGCUCUGGGCUGAGUGGGGGCCACCAGGAAUCAAUGAGCCUCGUUGUCUGGGCUUGUUCCCCUUCCCCGCAUUUGCAACUUGGCUCCCAGUAUGACUAUUUGGAAUUGAGAAAGGAAAUGUAAGCACUGUGAUAGGAGGGUUGCUUGGUGCCCCACGUACUAGGCCAGGUGAGGCCUCUGAAUCUAACCUGAGGGACUGAGGCCUGGAAAGAGGGUCCCAGGUCCCAUCCCCAUGCAACUCUCCUACCCUUUCUGGGGCGCCCUCAAGCCAGGCUGCACCUCCUUCUUGGCAGUACAUCAGAGGUGUGGCCUAAAUUUAAGAUAAAUAUUGCUUCUCCAAACACUGGGCCCUGUACGCCAGCCCCCAGAUACUGGAAGAGAGGAUGGAAGCCUGCAAAACCUGUUUCUCCAUCUGCCCCAGCCCAGCCUCUGAGAGAAACUCCCUGAAGGGUUCUUGGGCAUUGCUGUCCUGGUUCCAGGUGGCAGGACUGCCGGUCCACACAGCCCAGCAAAGGGACCUUGUAGCAGGAGUGACAGCGAAUGUCAGCUGGGAAGACACAAGUCGGGCUGAAGUGAUGGAGUGUCUGACUCACCUGGGGAUGAGCCCAGCUGGUGGGCAGGGUGGAGAAGAGCCAAUCAAAAAUGGCUUGGAACUUGAGGCCGGCAAGAAAGCCACCUGGGGCCAGAUUAGCAAUGUAUUCUUCACCUCCUGGGGCCGCCAAGAGCAUGGGAAGAGAAACCAGACUUGAACUGAAUCCUCCCACCCCAGUGGCUCUCUGACAGAAAGGAAAAGUAUCUGGGAGACAGAUCAUCAGAAUCCAUCCGAGCACUUUACCAAAAUGGAGAGGAUGGGUGCAGAAAGGCAGAAGGUGGCACCCCGAAAGUUUCUGCUGCAUCCGAUUCAAGGUUUGAGGGACGGAAGGGUUCAGUCCGUGGGUGGAGGAGCCUGGUGACUGCACCUCAGUGAAACCCACCUCACCCUGGGGGUGAGCAACCUUGGCAUUCCCUCCCUAGAAGGCCGGGAAAUCUCCCUGGUUCCCUGGGAGGUUCUGAGAGGUCACUGGAGCCUUCCAGAAAGCUUGUGUUCCUGGAGGUAUGCACCUCAGGGAGGAGCAGGGGGGGAUCUAGGAGAGGCCACUGCUCGAGGGACUGAGCACAAAGUCCCUGAUGGAGUAGAUGGGAGGAUGGGUCACAAAAGAAGCCGCAGGCUGGAUGCCUAGAUUUCCGGGAGGACACCCUGGCUGAGUGCAGGUGGUGAGAGGAGAAAGCAGGUAAGCUGGAUCCUGGAGAGUUCUGUAUCAGAGUGGGGCUGGCAGUGGAGCUGGAUAUCAGAGUUUCCAAGGAGUGGGGACCAGGGGACCUGGAACCCUGGGCAGGUUAGAAGAGUGCGUCUUGGAG